rnacentral:rRNA from 1 species
UAAAAGUUUGAUUCUUGCUUUUGUUUUCAUUAUAUUAUGCUUUUACAUGUAUAUUUUUAUGUGUUAUAUUCUUUUUCUUAAUGAAUUAGAUUUAUAUUUAUUCGCAGUAUUUAGUAUUAUUUAUUCUUAUUAGGAGAAAUAGGUAAUUAAUUAAGCUCUGACAAAUUUUGUGCCAGCAGUCGCGGUUAUACAAAAAGGGCUAGUGAAGUUUAUUGGUUUGUAUUAUUUAUAUAUUUUUAAUUUUAAUUAAAUUUUGUUAGGUGAAAUUUCAAUUUUUUAUUAAAUUUAGGUUUAUUAUAAUAUAUGAAAAUUAUGUAUUAGACUAGGAUUAGAUACCCUAUUAUUUUAAUUGUAAAUUUAUAACCUUAAUAUUAAUAGUUAUGAUCUUUAAAUUUAAAGAAUUUGGCGGUAAUUUAAUCUUUCCAGAGGAACCUGUCCUGUAAUUGAUAAUCCACGUUUAAUAUUACUUUAUUUUUACUUGUAUACCUCUGUCAUUGAAUGUCUUAUAAGAGUAAUUUUCUUUAAUCUUUAAUUAGGAAAAUGUUAGGUCAAGGUGCAGUUAUAAUAAAGUAGAGAUGGGUUACAUUUAAUAUAAUAAUGGAUUAUUAUAUGGAAAAUAAUUUGAAAUUGGAUUUGGGAGUAAUAUUUUUUAGAAUAAAAUUAUGAUUAUAGCUCUAAAUUAUGUACACAUCGCCCGUCACUCUCGUUAUUAAGAUGAGAUAAGUCGUAACAAAGUAGGCUUACCGGAAGGUGUGCCUAGUAUUAU